UACGUAGGGUGCGAGCGUUGUCCGGAAUUAUUGGGCGUAAAGAGCUCGUAGGCGGCCUGUUGCGUCGGUUGUGAAAGCCCGGGGCUUAACCCCGGGUCUGCAGUCGAUACGGGCAGGCUAGAGUGUUGCAGGGGAGACUGGAAUUCCUGGUGUAGCGGUGAAAUGCGCAGAUAUCAGGAGGAACACCGGUGGCGAAGGCGGGUCUCUGGGCCGUAACUGACGCUGAGGAGCGAAAGCAUGGGGAGCGAACAGG
rnacentral:rRNA from 1 species